CCGGUUGAUUCCGGCUCUCCUCUUCCUGGCAUUCCCUUUUUCGUUCCUCACUGCGUCAGUCUGAUUUUAGAGUGGGGCUGGUGGCAUCGAUAUUGCGGCAAGUGUGUGGCGGAGUUUAUUUACAGUAAUGGUGACACAAGCGGAUGCGUGAAUGCUGUCUGGUAAGUUGAGUCACACUUGUUGGAGUAACCAUAUAGCUUUGCGCUGGUUUUCGUUCAACCCUAACCGUAAAAGGGGGAAUGAAACAUCACCGUCUCUAAGUUGAUCUCUUGGUGAAGAUACUGUGACGCCGCUGCUGUUUUGCUUAUGGACAUUUUUUGUUUUCGUUUUGAAAACGGACCUGUGGUACGUCAUUGCUUACGGCUUCGCGGUUUGGCGGGUCGUUUGGGCCGAUCUCUGUGCCUUUGCCAGGCCACCUAUCUGUUUUAUUUUGAUUUAGUUUUUGUUAGUAUAAUUUCGUUUGCGCAUUGCGCUGUGGUUUUUCUUUUUUUGUACUUUGGGUUUCUUUUAUAACAGCGUUAACUUUUUUUGUUUUGUGUUACUUGUGGUUGUUCUGCAGCUUCAUAACUGUUCCUUUACAUUUCUGUGUCAUAUAUUGUAUUACGUCAUCGUAAAGAAUCCACAUUCUUUACUUCAUUUGUUUUGUACUUCUGGUGUCAUCCAGGCACUGUGACUUACUCUCACUGCAUUUUGUGCACUUAGGAGGCCGGCGUAUUGGAGUCCCUACGACUAGUGUCUGAGCCAGUGAGGACUCUGUGUGGAGCAGGGGAGGCUAGUCGCUUUCCUUCCAUGGUGGGUUUGGAUGACCUCCCGAGUUGCAGCCGGCCUGCCCUGUUCCCACUAAGCCUGGCCCUGGAGUUAUUUUAAUAAUCUGGUGGUGUGUUUCUGGAGAGAGAACAUUUUAUUGAUAUUAUUAUAAUAAAGUGUAUUUUUGUAUUGACACUCAUGUCUCACUAGAUCUUAU